UUUAGCUCUGCGUGUCUUAGCAGGGCUCCAUCUCUCCUGCCACCAAGCUGGCUCCAGACAGAGGCCAGUUGGGUCCUUCGGCAGCGAGGCCCUCCGAUCCUGGGCCAAAGACUGGAGAGCACCUACCAUGGGAUGUACCAGGAAGUGCCACUGGUGACGCUAUAUCUCCUUGGCACUCCCCUGCCAAGCUGGAAUUUAAAGUGCUGACAAGCUAUCUAUACCCUGUUUUUAAGAAAUAGACACCAAGUUGCAAACUAUUGUCAAGUUAAUUCUCAUUUUUUCAAAUAUCACCACUGCCCUUUACUUGCUUUGUGAACUCAGGCAGUGUUAACAAUCUCUCUCCCUCAGUUUCCUCGUCUUUAAAAUAAGGAUGCUAAAAAUCACCUAUCCCUUAGGGUCGUUGUGUCAAAUAAAUGUGAAACACUUGCAAGCAGCAGAAUCCAACUCUGGACAACUUCACCGAUGAGAUAGCUCCCAGACUCAAGAGAAAAAAAUGGAAGCUCAGGCUCCAGAAAAGCUCAAGCUUCAUCUUUCCAAGAGAGAGAGGCUGAUUGGUGUAGCGUAGGUCACACACGCAGCCUCCUUACCAGUGGAGGGCACAGAACUGGAUUCACACAAGCACCUUACUCAGCAAAUUAAGUCACUAUCAGCCCAAAAGGCUUCAGGCUGGACAUGAACAGGCGAUGAGCCAGUACCCCCUGCACGGAGCCACUCCCCUCAUGACUUACCUUCUCCAGGUAGGAGUUUAAGACACUAUUUCCAGCAAGGAUUGGCCUUCUAAGCAGGAGGUGUGGCUGCUACAUCAUGAUAUAUUCCAAUCACAAAAGCCAGACAGAGCCCCUCGACCCUAAACAUCAGCCUGGUGCCUAUCAUUCUGCCAUUAAAAUGUCGUUUUUCCACUUUCUGAGAUUCCUUUACAAAAUGACAGAGGUCCCACCUGGUCAGCAAAUACUUUACCUUUGCAAACAUUUGCUCUCCUUGAGCUGAGAACCAAAAUAGGACACAGGCUGGGUACCUGACUGGAAGCAGAACACCCGACUAGGACAAGACCCAGAAGGGAGGAAAGGAGGACUGAGAAGUGACUGGGGACACACACUAGUGACAAAUAUUGAGACAGCUACUCAGUGGACCAGGGUCAGCCAGCAUUGGCCCCACAUUGAGCUGUGGGACCAUUCAGCUAAGUGAUGUGACAUCACCCUACUCUCUGUCUGCCAAGCUCUUGACAUCUGCAUUCAGAGCCAGGAUUAUGCUGGCCCCAGACGUUGGCUAAGUUCCGGAAGUCUCCAGACACUGCACACCACCAUGUCAAUCCCUAUUUUCCUCCUUUUCUUUCCACCGUUCUAGCCCUUCUCGUUGGUGUUAUGUUUAGAAAGCAAAAUUCUCGAGGAGAUGCACACAUAGCUCUCUGUAGUUGAAGGUGAGCAUAAUAACAACAGCAAAGGCAACAACUAAAGAGCUUAUUAAAUGCCAGGAACUUAAUAUUAUCUUAUUUCUUCCCCUACAAUAACCCUGCAGGUGGGCUUUGUUACUUCCAUUUAACAG
rnacentral:lncRNA from 1 species